CGCAUGCAACAACAUAGACUUGAGCAUCUUUGAAUAAUGUUGGCCAAUAAAAACCUGAUUGAAGAAUCUUUGCCAUAGUUCAAUUUGCUCCAAAAUGACCACCAUAUUUAGAAGAAUGGCAAUGAUGCAAGAUAUUUAUCUUUUCUUCACCUGGCACACAUCUCCUGAUGAUUUGGUUCAAGCAAUGCUUGUACAAGAAUGGAUCUUCCCAAUAGUAAUGUUUGGCAUCAGACAAGAACUUCUUCCUUUGUUGCCUUGAUUAGUCUUGAGG
rnacentral:lncRNA from 1 species